rnacentral:rRNA from 1 species
ACGGAGGGUGCAAGCGUUAAUCGGAAUUACUGGGCGUAAAGCGCGCGUAGGCCGCUUGAUAAGUCAGGGGUGAAAUCCCACGGCUCACCCGUGGAACUGCCCUUGAUACUGGCGGGCUCGAGUGUGUGAGAGGAUAGUGGAAUGCCUGGUGUAGGAGUGAAAUCCGUAGAGAUCAGGAGGAACAUCAGUGGCGAAGGCGGCUAUCUGGCACUAAACUGACGCUGAGGUGCGAAAGCGUGGGUAUCAAACAG